rnacentral:rRNA from 1 species
UAAAGAGUGUGUAGGCGGUUUUCUAAGUUUGGUGUGAAAUCUCCCGGCUUAACUGGGAGGGUGCGCCGAAGACUGGAAGGCUUGAGUAUGGGAGAGGAAAGCGGAAUUCCUGGUGUAGCGGUGAAAUGCGUAGAUAUCAGGAGGAACACCUGUGGUGUAGACGGCUUUCUGGACCAUCACUGACGCUGAGACACGAAAGCGUGGGUAGCAAACAGGAUUAGAUACCUAGU